rnacentral:rRNA from 1 species
UACGUAGGGUGCGAGCGUUGUCCGGAAUUAUUGGGCGUAAAGGGCUCGUAGGCGGUUUGUCGCGUCGGAAGUGAAAACCCAGGGCUUAACCCUGGGCUGGCUUUCGAUACGGGCAGACUAGAGGUAUGCAGGGGAGAACGGAAUUCCUGGUGUAGCGGUGAAAUGCGCAGAUAUCAGGAGGAACACCGGUGGCGAAGGCGGUUCUCUGGGCAUUACCUGACGCUGAGGAGCGAAAGUGUGGGGAGCGAACAGG